UAGAUACCCUGUUAUUCUAAUAAGAAAUUUAAAAUACUUGAGUAGUAAAUAGGUAUGAUCUAGAAACUUAAAGAAUUUGGCGGUAUUUUAGUCUUAUUAGAGGAGGUUGCCCUAUAAACGAUAUAACUCGUAGGAUCUUUCUUCUUUUUGUUAUAUCAGUUUGUAUAUCGUCAUUAUAAAUAUUUUAUAAAUAUAAUAUAUUGGGAUAAAUUGGUUAUUUAAUAUAUUAGAUCAAGGUGCAGCUUAUAAGGAAGUAUGAGGUGAGCUACAAUAAAAUUAAUUUAAAUGGAUUAAAAGUUGAAAAUUAUUUUUUUGAAGGUGGAUUUAAAAGUAAUUAUAUUUUAAUAAGAUAUAGUGAAUAUUAAGCUCUAAAAUAUGUACAUAUCGCCC
rnacentral:rRNA from 1 species